UCCCGUGUGGCUCAGUUGGUAGAGCAUGGUGUUUGCAAUUCCAGGGUUGUGGGUUCGAUUCCCACGGGGAA
rfam:Salmo salar isolate Sally breed double haploid chromosome ssa10, whole genome shotgun sequence.